AAGCCAUACUGUUGUAAUUCCUUUGUGGAAGAGGCUGGAAUACGCAGGCUGUAACUUACAGCCACCGGCAGAGGUUAACGUGGCGCGAGGAGAGCCACUUAAUGGAUCAACGUAGGGGUUGAACGUCAUUUCACCGUUGACGGUGCCGUUAGAGUAAAAAUGUUUUACAGCCCUCCUCGUCAGCCACCACAAUCGAACUAGAGUUCAUCCCAUCCUUUCCUCUCCAAACCCUCCUCAGACCCAAAAUCACCUCUCUCUCUCUCUCUCUCUCUCUCUCUCUCUCCUGUCACCACUGGACCUCAUAACCAAAUCACUCCCUUUCGCUGUGUAACCAAAUUCCAAUCUCUGAAAGACUGCACAGAAUAAGCGACUCCUGUUGGAUACAGCACCACGUAUCACAAAACCAACACCCAAACAAGGAAUUGGAUCAAGACAUUGGAGCAUAGCGAAAAGGAAACACAAAAUCAAAGAUCAGAAUUGAAAAAGAAAGGCAAGAAGCCGCAGAAAUAGGCCAUCGCCUGAGCAGAAGCGCGAAGGGCGAAGUUUAUCUCCACCGGCUCUUACGAGAUCGAGGAGAGAGGAAACCCAGAGCGAGAGGAAGGGGAAUAAAUGGUUGCUGCUUUUAACGGAGCCCCAUGUUUCAUUACAGCCUUUGCAGAAGCGAUAUCAAGAUUCAAGAGUCAAGGUCGCUGUUUCAUUAUAGCCGUUGCAGAAACCGUACCAAUAUCGGUGGUGUAGGGGUUGAGAAGAUGCUUUCCGGUUAGCGUCUCAUCCCGUCCCAUCUCCCAUCAUCUUGGCCGGUAUAAGGCAAGGACAGCAGCUGCAGUCAAAGUUCUAGAGUUUCAAUUUGAGAGUGAGCCUCUGUCUAUUUAAACUCAAAUAUGUAAUAGUGCCCUGCUGAGUUUAACUAAUGUUAUGGCUCAUGGGAGCUGGCACUCCUGGCAGGAGUAGAAUCAGCAUAUAGAAAGAACAAGUAUUCUGGUAUCUAGUCCUCCGGUGGUUGGCUUCUUCUGUUUUACACAGGUCAUAUUUUGCCUUUUUUAAUUUUCUCUACCUUUUCAAUUGGGUUAACAAAUUCUAAACUGUGACCCUUGAUUCCUAGACCCUAAAUAUUUUCUGUUACAGACUGCAUCAGGAGAUGUGAUACUUUUCAUUUAUAUGCAGUAGUUUUCAAGUGGAACUGGAACAGAUGUUUGGGGAUUGUAUGGAACGUGGCACAAAAUAAAAGGAAUGUGCUCUGAGGCUUUGUUAAAGAAAGUGAGAUUGUACUAGGUGAUGUGUCUGCACAUUGUGAAAAUCAUGACAGGAAUAUGACCUCAAAAUGCAGUCAAUGCACCUAUUGCAGCCUAUGAUCAGUUUGUUCUGGUUCUAUAAUUACAAGAGAUCCACAGACGGGGAAGUUUUGAGAAAUGAGAUGGGGGAAUUAAUGGGUGCUUUCUUAACACCAUAUAAGGAUUUUUUCUCCUUUGACAAUGGAGUUUGAUGGCCUGAAAAGUAGGUAUCUGAUUAGCCUUUGAAGUUGAGCUUGAUAGUAGAGUGGCUGGUAGCUUGGUAGUCUCUAAUGAGAUGUGCUGACAGAGAGUGGGAUGAUAAUAGUGUCGUUCUAAUUUUAUCAGACAUCCCCAAGACCCCAGAGGGAUCUAAAAGUGCUGUUGAAGAAUUGUGAUGCAACCAAGGUCUGCUUCUAACUGAGGGAAUGCAACAAAGUGGUUCAUGUGUUGGCUAGAUUCAUAGUGAAGGAAUGUAUUAAUAUAUUUUGUAUUGAAAUUGGGCCGGGCUUAUGUGAUUGAUAAAUAUCAAUGCUAAUAUUUGUAAGUUUGUAACAUUUCUUAUGAUUAAUGAAUGAUUACCUAUUCGUUUGAAAAAAAAAAGUGUAAGAUUUAAGAGAACGAUAGCUGUUUUAUAA